UACAGAGGUCUCGAGCGUUGUUCGGAUUCAUUGGGCGUAAAGGGUGCGUAGGUGGCGCUGUAAGUCGGGUGUGAAAUCCUGAGGCUUAACCUCGGAACUGCAUUCGAUACUGCGGCGCUUGAGGACUGGAGAGGAGACUGGAAUUCAUGGUGUAGCAGUGAAAUGCGUAGAGAUCAUGGGGAAGACCAGUGGCGAAGGCGGGUCUCUGGACAGUUCCUGACACUGAGGCACGAAGGCCAGGGGAGCAAACGGG
rnacentral:rRNA from 1 species